CUUGUUAGUACAAAAUAGGAAUGCUCUUGUUAAACACAACAAUGUUCUGGGGAAGCGGAGCACUGCUGUGCCAGAUGCUUUUUCAAUAAAUUAAUCACAGGUACUAAUGUGCUUAUUCAGUAGUUUUAUACACUCGGCUGCCUUAAUUACUCCUUCUCCAGAUGACCACCAGAGAGUAGGCCUCAUUCUUGCAGUAAAAACUUAGCACUUUGGAGGGAGAGUUAAGUAAACAGAAUAACAGCAUUUCCUUGUCCUUGUGCAGGUACUGUAACCCUCCUGGCCCUGAAUGGCCUUAAUCUAUGUUAUCAAGCUUUCCCCCCCAUCCCUUCUACACAGUUGCAUUUCCUUCAUUUUGACUUCCCUCUUUGCAUGUUACUUUACUG